rnacentral:rRNA from 1 species
AUGGAUGAAGAGGAGAAGGAGGAGGAAGGGAGCGUCAAGCUCAUCAUUGCCGGUCUCGUGCUUGGCGCUCGCUUCGGCAACUGGCUAACUGGUGAAGUGGUCAUGGAGGUAGCAGCAGAGCAGGUGAGGACUGCAGUCUACGCAGCUCUCCUUCCACGCCAUCUUCUCCUACUUCGUCAACAAGCAGAAGUUCACCGCGCUCAUCCUCAACUCCGUCGUGCUGCGCACCUUCUCCGCGGCGCUCGUCGGCGUGAGCCACGGCUCGGAUGGGCAGAGGAACCUCCGGCGUGCCCAACGUGUUCGACGAAAUGA